UGAAGAGCCAGCGCCUUCGGGCGAGGGACGCUCCUUCUGCGCUGCAUGACCCUUGAACACGGGACCCAUUUUAACGCUGGUCAUCUGUGAAAUAUACAUGCAAGCCGUGCUAUAUUCAUUUUUAAGGAAAACGGUGAUGUCCUCGUGGCGCAUGCUGUGAUUUCGCGCGCCGUGCCUUUAUGUUGUUGGAGAACUUGAUCCGUACCACCCACUUGUCAUUGCUCUAAGGAAUAGAGAUCACAAACACUGUUGUGGUUACCGUAUAGUGAGAUUGAUCGUGAGAUAGCGCCACCCAUCGACCAAAAUUUAGAUCUGCAAACUGCGGAUUCACA